AUUGGUUUUUAUUAGUUAUUUAGAGUUUUUAAAUCUGCGUACACAUAAUUUCAAUUUUCAAGAUUUAUAUAUUUUUGUGCUUUUUUUCCAUGAAGUUAACAUUUCAAAUUUAUUUUCUAUCUGCAAUGUAGCAACAGCUGUUGUUUCAUUCCAACAAAAGCAAACGAAUCAGAUUUCAAAGCGGACAGCAUGAAAUUUUUACGGUUAGAAGAGCACGUUUGCAAUCAACUAAAAUCAGUCAAUGGCUGCUACACAUUUCCUGUCUGGGCAGAUAAAUAGAAACAGAGCAACGAAAAAGAAAAACAUAAAACAACAAUAAUAACAUCAAUACACUGCUUACAAAUAAACCUAGGUGAACGGCAUUAAAUCUCAAUAAACAAAUUACAAAAAUUGAUCGCCAUAGAUUGAUGCUGAGAAUACGAAAGCAGUUAUUGAAUUGUAUGUGAGCAGCUGUGCGUGUGCGCUGUAACGGUAUAACGGUAUAUGUGGUGGAAAAAACCCAGAGUGCAAUGAAGUAAGAGCACGCAUUGUGUUGGCAGACAUCAGGUGUAUAUAUAUAGAUAUGUAUAUAUUGGUCGCGUAGAUAGUAUUUACGAAUCGACAGCCGAAACGUUCUUUGAAUAGCAAACAUUUUACCGGACAGGACGCAUUGGAAAAUGGGAAUACAACAAAAAAAUGCUGUGUUGGAUGUAAAAAGAAGUGAGAGAAGGCAAAAAGGUAGCAGCUGAACAUGAAGAAAAACGUAGCAAAGUAAGUAAGAAAUAUGGGCGCAAGUACAUGAACAUGAGAAUUUGACCUAAAAUGUGAGCGGACAUCAUUGGAAAUCGACCAAAUACAGUUUAUGCAUAGCUGGCUGAGGCGCGACAGUGGAUCAGUGGACCUAAUGCCGUAAAAUAUAUGUAAAAAUUUAAACGUAAGAAAAUCGAGUACAUUAGCGUAUUCAGGUUAGUAGGCAUAUUUGGCAGAAAAUAACAAUAAUAAAAAAAAGAUAAUAAAAGAUUUCGAGAAAAAUC